UGUGAAGCAAUGGUGCUGGUGCGUUUGAGAGAUAGAUAACGCCAGAAAGAGGAGUAAAGCGGAGGAAACUGAGCGGGGUGUUCAGAAAAGAGGAUCGCGGACUCUGUGUUAUUGAGCGACUGAGUGAGAAACGAAGCCGGAGACCCGUCUGACGGAGCGGGAGAAAAGGACCGGACGCGUGAUCGAAGGUAGCCGCGAUAGCUAGCCGCAGUGAGGUUACGCUGGCCGACCUGUCGAUGAAUCACACUGCCCGUGAUCAUCCGUACCAAGUAUUUCCACGCUCUUAAUGUGUUGCAAGUUUUUGUUCUGCGAACUCAAUGUUUUGCAAGACCAACACAGGCCUGCACCGUGUUUUUUUCUCUCCGUUGAAAGCAGUACCAAAAUGUCAGGAGAAAGGCCCAAGAGAGCUAAAAAAAAACAAAAGACGAGGCUGUCUAUUAUGCAUCAAUCUGUAAAGAUAAGGGUGGAUUUGUUGCAAAAUACAUUAAUUCAUUCAAAGGUCGGGGAGUGUUUACCUCUUUCACUUUAAUAAAGGCGAUUUUCUUAUUGAAUAUCGAGGAGAGGUCAUAAAUAAAGAAGAAAAUGAAAGAAGACAUAAACUUUAUGACAAUGCACUCGAAGUGUUUUUAUUUGAGUUCCGUUUUAAUGGAAAACAAUUAUGGGUUGAUUCUGAGAAGGAAGAUGACUCUUUAGGGCGUCUUGUUAAUGAUGACCACCUGAACCCCAACAGCAAAAUGAAAAUAAUAACCGUGGACAAAAAGCCCCAUCUGUGUUUAUUUGCUAUAAAGGACAUUAGUCUUGGGGAGGAAAUACGUUAUAACUAUGGGGGUUCUGAAUGGCCAUGGAGACACCAAGUAUUUAAAGAUAAUUUUAACAGAUACAUAUUUCUUAAUUUUUAUUUUGCUAAUUAUUCAAACAAAGCUUCAAUUAUGUAGAGAAAUGAAUAUGCUAAUACUACACAGGUAACUUCAGAGACUGUUGAACCUGCCUCACUCGUCUGUGGAGAUGGGAGUAAAACACAGACGGUAACUUCAGAGACUGUUGAACCUGCCUCACUCGUCUGUGGAGAUGGGAGUAAAACACAGACGAUUUGCAAACAUGACAUAAUUUCUUCAGUUGUAUCAAGUUUGGAUAAAUGUGCCCGCUGUACUGGGCCCUAUUCUACUUUUAAGUGGAUUGGUGUGAAGUUCUGUUCAUGUUUCUGGCAUAAAUCCUGCUACAACCAGACUGUAUCGCCCAAACCACGACUCAGUCAAAUCAAAUUCUGAUGAAUUAUUUAGUGAUAACUCGGAUGAGGACUAUAUUCCCAGUGAUUUUUCACAUGAUUCAGAAUCUGAAAGGUUCUCUUUAGAUCCAACUAAACCACAUGCUAAACCAAUCUCCAUCAUAGACAGCCAAGAAAAAAUUGUAGUUAAAGGGGCUGAGGAUACUACGGAAUUUGAGGAAGUGGCUGAGGAUACUACGGAAUUUGUGGAAGUGGCUGAGGAUACUAAAGAAUGUGAGAAAGGUCCAUCUGUACCGUCCACAGACAUAUCGACUUCAGUUCAUAAGAAUUUCUGUUUUAUUUAUGAAAAACCCCAAUCAAAAUUCACAAGACACAUGAAAGUUCACGAAAAAACAAAUGCGGAAGUUGCUAGGGCUUUGGCCUUGCCAAAACAUUCCAAGCAACGUAAGAAAUUACUGGAGAACCUAAGAAAUAAGGGAAAUUAUGAACACAAUGCAAGUGUUUUAGCUGGUGGAUCUGGCCAAUUAAAAAUCAAACGUAUUCCGAAGAAAAAUUACAAUCCAACUGAUUAUGUGAGUUGUGUAUAUUGCCAUGCAAUGUCCCUACGCAGAGAUCUAUGGAGAGACAUGUAAACUGUCUUUCUAAGCCAGCUGAUCAGGAACAACCAGGAAGAAAUGGGGUACUGGGUUUAGCAACAAUGUCUGAUUCAGUUCUCUAUCAGCAGAUGUCACAGGAUGUUUGGAAACUCCUAACACCAAUGAAAGAUGAUGACAUCUCUGCUGCAGUGAGAAGUGAUUUCUCUAUCCUACAGCUGGCACAGUCAUUUUUAAAUAAACAUGGUCAAGAUCGGUGUAAAUAUGAUUACAUUAGACAGAACCUCAGAGAGGUUGGAAGACUUCUUUUGAUCAUGCAAAAGCAAUCUUCAUUGCAUACGAUUGAGGAUGCUGUUAAGCCUGAAAAUUAUGGAAUGGUUAUACAGGCUGUCAAAACAGUAUCUGGGUAUGAUGCAGCAAAACACACUUAUCGCACUCCAAGCCUUGCUAUUAAACUGGGUCACUCUUUGAACAAGAUAUGUGACAUCAUACACUGCAGAGCGUUAAUGGCCGAAGUUGAUGCAAGGAUUAAGUCAACCCAGACUUUCAAAGAGUUGUGUAAUUCUGAGUGACCGGAACUGGUGUCUCAUGGAGCUUUUGACCACUUUACACGAAGGACAUUUCAAUAAACCAUCCACCCUGCCGUUUACUGAAGAUGUUCAGCGUCUUCAUCAACAUCUUGAAACAGUCAGUGAAUUAGCUUCUGGGAACUUGAAGAAGACCACAUCACCUCAAGUAUAAGGAGAACUGUGCAGAUCGACUGUUGCGAAAAUUAUAAUCUUCAAUCGAAGGUGUGGAGGAGAAGUUGCAAGGAUGCAGCUUAAAAGUUUCCUAGAGAGGGACACAACUCCUCUUCACAAAGAUGUCGCGGUUGGGCUCACAAAAUUUGAGCAGAAACUUUGUGCCCAUUUUAGUCGAGUGGAAAUUAGGGGUAAAAAAGGGCGUAAGGUAGCAGUGCUGCUAUGCCCAGACGUGGUGGAAGCUUUAAGACUCCUCAUCAGCAGAAGACAAGAGUGUGGAGUUCCUAAUGACAAUGCAUUUCUUUUUGCAAGACCAAAGUGUUUGACUCCGUAUCGUGGACAAGACUGUCAGAUCAGUGUGUUGCUAAAAAUCCGGAACUCCUUCGGUCAACACAAUUACGCAACCAUAUUGCAACAUUGUCGCAGGUCCUUAACCUCAAAAACCAUGAGUUGGAUCAAGUCGCGGACUUCUUAGGCCAUGAUAUUCGUGUCCACAGAGAAUAUUACAGACUUCCAGAGACUACAACCCAGCUGGCCAAAAUAUCUAAGCUUCUGCUUGCCAUGGAGAAAGGUUCUCUUGCAAGUCUUCAAGGCAAAACACUAGAAGAGAUUGAGAUUGAAGAAAACAUACACUUAACUGAUAUUCAAGUGGUGACAGUGAUGCUGGGGAGACAGAUCCACUGACACGAAGUGAAAUUGUAGUACUUGAAAAUCCUGCUGAAAAGGAUGCCAGAAGGAAACAAAAGCAGCCAUGGUCUCCGACCGAAAUCGCAGCAGUGAUGAGACAUUUUAAAAGCUACAUCAAACAGGGAAAACUUGCCACUAAAAUUGAUUGCCAGCAGUGCAAGAGUUCUGAGCACCCAGCUUUGUCAAACCGCUCUUUACAAAACAUUAGAGAUUUUGUCAGGAAUAGGGGUUUGACAAGAAAGAGGCAGGCCCAAAAUACUUAAUGUGUUUUGGUCAUUUUGUUUUGUGUUUUUUUAUGUGUUAUUAAGGUUAUAAACUUCUGUUUACAAAUAUCAUAUGCUUUGUUCUUUAAUAUAUUAUUUAGUUUACUCAAUGCAUUCCCAUACUUGGUGUACUGUUUUAUGUUUUCAUAUCUAUAUGUAACAAAUGGCAUGUUGAUAAAGUCACAUCACAGAAAAAACAAGUCCUUGUAUACACUCUUUGAAAGGUUGUAUGCGUUAUAGGAUUGCUAUAUGAGGUCAAAUGUACAGACAGCUGGAUUGUUAUUACAAAAUCAAUUUUGUCAGUGUGAUCAGGAUGCGAACAGAACAAGAGGACUUUUGUUUUGUCCUGGAGAAUUGUAUUUUGCGAUUUCAGCUUGCUGGAUGUACCUUUAUCCUGCUUAGUACAGAUUUAAACUCCAAGAAGAAAAAUCAGUUUGGAAGUUACUAACAUUUAAAAUUAAUUUCAUAAACAUCAUUAUUUUGAUAUAAUAUUACUUUAAUAUAUGUUAUUAAAUUGCACCAGUCGAAGUGUCUCACUGUACCUGGAUAAGCCUUGUGUUACCAGUUUCAGCAGACCUAAGGGUGUUGCCUCAGUUUGAUGAACCAUUUGUUGUCUUACAUGUCUUUAUGUUUGUGUUUAACAAUUUGUCCUCAUAGAUCAUUUAUGUCCUUAAAAUACACAACUUUUUCACUUCUGUGUUUUUAAGUUUUCAGUUACAUUCACUUUAGCUACAGUUGUGUUCAAAAUUAUUCAACCCCCAAUGAAAUUGAUUGUUUUGGUCGGUUUGACAUUGAUUAUGAUCAUUCAGUCAUCCUGCUUACAAUUAAAUCAAAGAGGCACGUGUAGGUCAGACAAAUUUAACAUAACAUUUAUAAUGAAAUACCCACAAAUGUCUUUUCUGAGCUCACAUCAUUAUCAGUUUUAUUCAACCCCCAAGUGACAUUCGAUCUUAGUACUUAGAACAACAUCCUUUUACAGUUAUAACAGCUUUUAAACGUGAAGCAUAGCUUGACACAAGUGUCUUGCAGCGAUCUACGGGUAUCUUCGCCCAUUCAUCAUGGGCAAAAGCCUCCAGUUCAGUCACAUUCUUAGGCUUGCGCACUGCAACUGCUUUCUUUAAGUCCCACCAGAGGUUCUCAAUCGGAUUUAAGUCUGGUGACUGCGAUGGCCACUUCAAAAUGUUCCAGCCUUUAAUCUGCAACCAUGCUCUAGUGGACUUGGAGGUAUGCUUGGGAUCAUUGUCCUGUUGAAAGGUCCAACGUCUUCCAAGCCUCAGGUUUGUGACGGACUGCAUCACAUUGUCAUCCAAUAUCUCCUGGUACUGAAGAGAAUUCAUGGUACCUUGCACACGCUGAAGCUUCCCAGUACCUGCAGAAGCAAAACAGCCCCAAAGCAUGAUUGACCCCCCGCCAUGCUUCACAGUAGGCAAGGUGUUCUUUUCUUGUUCUUCCUCCUCCAAACAUAGCGUUGAUCCAUGAGCCCAAACAGUUCUAAUUUUGUUUCAUCAGUCCACAGAACACUAUCCCAAAACUUCUGUGGUUUGUCCACAUGACUUUUGGCAUACUGCAGUCGACUCUUCUUAUUCUUUGGGGACAGCAAGGGGGUGCGCCUGGGAGUUCUGGCAUGGAGGCCUACAUUUCGCAGGGUGCGCCGUAUUGUCUGAGCAGAAACUUCAGUACCCACAUCUGACAAAUCUUUUUUCAGUUCCUCAGCAGUCACACGGGGACUUUUCUCCACUCUACGCUUCAGGUAGCGCACAGCAGUCGAAGUCAGCAUCUUCUUUCUGCCACGACCAGGUAGCGUUUCAACAGUGCCCUUUGCCUUGAAUUUGCGAAUGAUGCUUCCUAUGGUGUCUCUUGGUAUGUUUAACAUCUUUGCAAUCUUCUUAUAGCCAUUGCCCUUCCUGUGAAGAGUAAUCACCUGUUCUCUUGUCUUCCUGGACCAUUCUCUUGACCUCACCAUGUUUGUAACCACACCAGUAAAUGUCUAGAAGGAGCUGAGUAUCACAGUCAUUUUAAAGCUGCCUAAUUGGUGCUUAUUAGGCUUUAUUGCUGCUCCCUGAUAUCCACAGGUGUUUUCAAUACCUGAUUGAAAACACUUCAUUGAACCUCUGUUCUUCAGAGUGGUAGUCUUUAAGGGGUUGAAUAAUUAUGUCAAUGAAGAAUUCACAAAAGAAACAUUUACUACUGUAUUAGAAAACUAAUUGAUGUCAUUUUAGUUGCAUAUGGUUCUUUAAGAAGUCCUUGUAGGAUUUCAUUCUGAAUACAAUUACAAAUGUAAACUAAAUUCCCUAAAACCAUUUACAGCAUUGGGGGUUGAAUAAUUUUGAACACAACUGUAAGUCUGUUGGCAUCAGGUGUUUAUAGAUGUGAAUAGAUAAAUAUAUGGCAUGGUUGGAACUGCUGUGUGGGCCCUAGAUAUCCAUGGUAGUCCAGAGAUGAGACAUUUAGAGACAAAAAGCAGGUAUUAGGGUAGAGGCCAUUCACACUUCUAUGUACAUUAAUCUAUGUGUUUGAUUCUGAUUAAGCUUAUUAUUGCAGCAUAACAUUGUUUGGGCAUUGAAUUAUGUGUAUGCUUGGUUAAUGAGAUGAGUUUGUUGACUUAAACGAAUGGAGUCUGUCUGAAUCCUAAACAGGGCUGGGGAGGCUGUUUCAACGUUUAUGAGCUUAGUAAGAAAACUAUCCACUACCUUUACAGGAUAUUGAUAUUUGAUAUUCAUAAGAUUAUUAACAGACCAGAUCUUUGUGACCACAAGGUUUGACAGACAGUUGUCUGAUAAGAGUCAUAUGCAAUGUAAUGCUUUACUCAGUUUUUGUCAUGGUUCAGCAAUGUCCUUUAAUAUACAAUGCCAUCAUUUCCUAUUAAUUCAUGCGUGUCCCAUUAAUACACUUUUACGACAUGUGUGUGUGUUUUAUAGCUACUGUCCUUAUAAAAACGUUUUUGUCAUAGGCGGGACUUGCAUGUAAUUAUAAUAUGUCCUCAUAAUUGUGUAUUUUGUCAGGUUGUCAUAUUAUCAGUUGUGUUGUGUUUAAAUUUAUUCUAAAGUGAGAUCUGUGUUGUGCAACUCAAAUAACAUUUUUUGAUGUACAGCACAACUCUCUAGUGCAAGCGGAAAGGUGUGUCCCUCUAUUACAGCAAAAAACUGGUUUGGGCUAAAGUAGGGUGACCACCUGCUAAUAAGCCCAAGGGGGGACAAGGGGUAUGUUUCUGAGGGACAAUGUGGGACACUGGCUGGCACGGCGGUGCCCCCACUCCCCAGACAGACUCACAGAUAGUGGUUUACCCAUUUCUAGCACAUACCACCUUACAUGGUAUAUUAAUAAUGCCCUUUUCCCCUAAACAUGUGUAAUUGCUGAUGUAUGCUCAUGAAUAGGCCAGCCAAUGUAUAUUUUUUUAAAAUAAAGAUUCACAAUAUUUUGAACAUUCAA